GUGGCGUAUGUGUUCGUGUUUUAAUGUAUACAAGAGACAUUGGGCAAUAAGCAGUCCAGAACAUUGAAAACUCAAGCAGCAGAGAAUUAAACUGGUAGGUGGCAGUAGAGGAAGGAAUUCUUCAGAUUGAUGGCUGCUGACUUAAAAUCCGCAUAGGAGGAGAGAGAGCAUGGCAUACCAAGUGAAGCAAGGGGGGGCAAAAAAUGGAAGCAGUACUAAGAUUCCUGGAUUUUAACUCUGAAUGGUUCUUUUGAAGUAACCAGUGAUCUUUGCUUACCUCAUUAACAGAAUGGACGAAGACAGAAUCGACACUGCUUUUUCGAGUGGAGAAUAAAAAUGCGCAGAACAAAGAAGCAGUAGCUCUAACCUGUUUGAUUCAAUGUGUUUUCUAAAAUAAAAACACCAUG